rnacentral:rRNA from 1 species
UUGCUUUAAAGUUGUUGCGUUUAAAACGCUCGUAGUUGGAUCACGCAGCAGUGUUCAGUAAUCUUUUGUUCGACACCAUUCAGUGCGUCCGUUUCAAUACGGCCACCGAUGGUUCGUCAUUAGAUGACAAUGCUGGACACUGCUAGUUGCACGUGAGAUAGAUUGUUGGCCUUAAAUGUGCCGAUAUUCUUGUCUUGCGGGGUGUGCCUUGAAUAAAACAGAGUGCUCAAAGCGGGUUAUUGCCUGAAUGUUAUAGCAUGGAACGAACAAUCGUGUAUAUGUGUACGUCAUCAAAUGGUGAUGAGCCCUUGGUUCGUCGUUGUUUGAGGCGUGCACGGCACCCACCAAAAUAUGGCUGUUGGUUCCAUAUACGGUGAUGAUUAAUAGGAGCGGUUGGGGGCAUCAGUAUUUGGCCGCGAGAGGUGAAAUUCUUAGACCGGCCAAGGACUAACAAAUGCAAAGGCACUUGUCUAGACCGUUUCCAUUAAUCAAGAACGAAAGUGGGAGGUUCGAAGACGAUCAGAUACCGUCCUAGUUCCCACUGUAAACUAUGCCGACCUGGGAUCGGUUUAGAGAUGUUACAAGCUCUAGAUCGGUCCCCCUGGGAAACCUGAAGUUUUUCGGUUACGGGGAGAGUAUGGUCGCAAGGCUGAAACUUAAAGGAAUUGACGGAAGGGCACCACCAGGGGUGGAGCCUGCGGCUUAAUUUGAC